GCAAGUGAAACCCCAGGGAGGUGGGGAAUCCCUCGAGGUUUGACUCCCCCGUCCAGACAUCACUUUCUGGCCUACGACCCUGAGAGCCUUGUCCAGGGACCUGGGACUCUGCCCUGACCACUCUCCUACUGCCUGGAGGACCCUAGAACAACAUGGCCUAGCUGUGGGCACCAGACCAGCUUCAAGUAACUCUGAUGUCUAGCUGUGAGUGUCACACCUGUUCCCUGGGGUCAGAAGGCUGAUUUUUCUUCCUUAAAUUGAAUAUUUUAAGACUCCUACAUCAAGACUGGAAAAUAAAGACUAUUAAAAAACAAUUUGGAAAAGAAAUGAAAACUUGACCCAUCGGUUGAGUCUAUGAAUCCACCAAGAGAGCUACUGCCAAACACACCUCUGGCUCUGUAAGAGCUGAGAUUCUGUAAUACAGAAUCGUUCUUGUACGUUUGUCUCAGUGGCAGGUGAAGAACCAAAUCAAAGGCAACAGAAGCGGUAAAUCAGUUAACACACAUUUUAAUAAACACAUUAAAGACAUUCCAACCAUUCCUCUUAGAGAAAGAAGAUCAACUAUUACCGUCCCCAUUUCAGAGACAAAUCAGCGAGGACAAGAGACUCAUGACUGCCAUAAUGCUUAUCAUCUGAGUGCUUUCAGAAACCCAGCAGGACCAUCCGGCUGAGGCAGAGAGCUGGGAAUGAGGAAAAGGAACAAAGGAUAAAUGAGAAAACCCGGAGCUCUUCUCUCAGGGUCUCAGUCCACACUGCUCGGCUUUCAGGAAGACCAGGGAUUGAACUCAGGCUGAGGGCAGUGAAAGCACGGAGUCCUACCCACUGGACCACCAGGGAAUUCUUGACAGACUGAUAGGCUUUUCAAUCCAGAACUUCUUCCGGGGGUAUCUAGAGAUAAUGAAGUCAGACAGACAGCAGGAAACCAUCACUAACAAGCAUGGACAGCAACUUGACGAAAAAAUGUGCUUUACAAAAUGUGAGGGAAGUGCAGCCAGGAGAGGUGGCUGGGAACCAAACAGGAAUAAAAAGAACAAAAGGACACUGGGUCUUAGAAACAAAUGUGUAUUUUAAACUUUUUCAAAUACUCUGCCAUAAUCUCCCAUUUCAAUUCUCCCUAUCCUCUUACCAUCCUAAAUUCCAAGACAAUAAUUUUUCUAGGAUGUUCUAUGGAAUAUCUUUCAUAUUACACUUUCUAGAAGAACCUCUCUUCUUCCAAAUAACCCCUUUCAGCCCUUACCAAAUUUCAAUAAGUUUUGGUGAUAGAAAGAAAAAACAAAGGAACACCUAAGUGGUUAAAAAAAUAAAGCAAGCAGCACUUACCUGCUUGUUAUGUCACUUGGGUCCUAGAAAGGAAGAGAAGACAGACUGUCAUGGAAAUAAGGUUCCCGGGAGCUGACACUGUUCCUUAUGAUGAGCUCGCUGGGAAUGGGUAUGGGUACACAACAGGACUAUACAGAGAAUUUUCUGGUGGGCUUGGACCUGUGCUAUUCUCCACUGUGGUAUCAGUUUAUGGGGACACAUGUUUCCCCUUCCUUUCCUCCAUUUGAGUCUAGAAUAUCCUCUCCAGGAAAACUUUCUUGAUGUGUUAAGACUUCUACUGUCUAUCAGAUGAAGACUGAAAUCUCAGAAUGCCUUUGAAGGCCUCUGCUCAGCUGGCUCCAUCUUACCUAGCCCAUCUUCCCUUUAACUUCUUCCUCGCUUAGGCUGACUCCUCCAGAAAGGUGGCCCCUUUCACUCUAUGUAUCCUUCCUAUCUUCCAAACUCUCUUCCUCAGCACCUGCGGGCUUCCCAGGUGGCUCAAUGGUAGAGAAUCCUCUCGUCAGUGCAACAGCCACAGGAGACUCAGGUUCGAUCC